AUGUACAGAUCGAGAUUUAUACUUAGUCUAUCGAAUUAAAAAAUGUGUACAGAGCGUCUAUGGACUUUUUUGGAAGAAUACGCUUUUUCCUUGUGCCGAAUAAGUGUCCGCAUAACUUGUCUGAACCGCAAUGUCUUGCUUAUUAUUACAAAUACGGGCAGUGUUGGUUUUUUUUAUUCCAAAAUCUUCCUUUAAAUUGAUAGAGAACCGAUCCUGGGCGAAACUACGAAAAUCGAGAUCGAUCCCUCUACGGUAACAUGCGAUAUACCGAAUGAGACAUUUACUAUCGACUUGAAAAUUGUGUACCACGGUCCUUGCCAUCAUCAGGCAGUUCUUUUCAAAUGUUACGGGGUUUUCAAAAUCAGAAACGAAGCAAGAAGAACUUUUCUGAGGCUUAAGUGUUGAAGUUCAGUUGUGAUUGUCAUGCCCUAGGAUAUGCUAAUGGAUUGAUGGAGAAGAACGUCUGGAUUCAGAUACAGAAAGUAACAUGGUAGACAUGUACAUAUUUAAAGCAAGAGGAAACCUUGAAAAGAACGAACAACUAAACUAAGAAUUAUGUGCACAUCAUAGGAUAUUGACGUCAAUGGAAACAAAAUGUUUGUACUAGUUGAUCGCAGGAAUAUUGAUGAAAAAGUUAAAAGACAUUCAGUGAUAGGGAUGAAGUGGAGGCCUUAUCGAUAAACAAAGAGUCACCAGUUCAGGAAAUGGUACAGCGCUGAGAGUAUUUUGAAAGUUAAGAAAGGU